CCUACGGGUGGCAGCAGUGAGGAAUAUUGGUCAAUGGACGCAAGCCUGAACCAGCCAAGUAGCGUGAAGGAUGACUGCCCUACGGGUUGUAAACUUCUUUUAUAAAGGGAUAAAGGGAGGCACGUGUGCCUUUUUGUAAGUACUUUAUGAAUAAGGAUCGGCUAACUCCGUGCCAGCAGCCGCGGUAAUACGGAGGAUCCGAGCGUUAUCCGGAUUUAUUGGGUUUAAAGGGAGCGUAGAUGGGUUGUUAAGUCAGUUGUGAAAGUUUGAGGCUCAACCGUAAAAUUGCAAUUGAUACUGGUCGUCUUGAGUAUAGUUGCGGUAGGCGGAAUUCGUGGUGUAGCGGUGAAAUGCUUAGAUAUCAUGAAGAACUCCGAUUGCGAAGGCAGCUUACUAAGCUGCCACUGACAUUGAUGCUCGAAAGCGUGGGUAGCAAACAGGAUUAGAUACCCUUGUAGUC
rnacentral:rRNA from 1 species